CUACGGGGGGCAGCAGUGGGGGAUAUUGCACAAUGGGGGAAACCCUGAUGCAGCGACGCCGCGUGUGGGAAGACGGUCCUCUGGAUUGUAAACCACUGUCCCCAGGGACGAAGAUGACGGUACCUGGGGAGGAACCUCCGGCAAACUACGUGCCACCGGCCGCGGUAAUCCGUAGGGGGCAAGCGUUGUCCGGAAUUACUGGGUGAAAAGGAAGCGUAGGCGGGAUGGCAAGUUGGGUGUUAAAUCUACCGGCUCAACUGGUAGUCGCACCCAAAACUGCUAUCCUUGAGUGAAGUAGAGGCAGGCGGAAUUCCUAGUGUAGCGGUGAAAUGCGUAGAUAUUAGGAGGAACACCAGUGGCGAAGGCGGCCUGCUGGGCUUUUACUGACGCUGAGGCUCGAAAGUGUGGGGAGCAAACAGGAUUAGAUACCCGAGUAGUC
rnacentral:rRNA from 1 species